GAUGAACGCUGGCGGCGUGCCUAAUACAUGCAAGUCGAGCGAACAGACGAGGAGCUUGCUCCUCUGACGUUAGCGGCGGACGGGUGAGUAACACGUGGAUAACCUACCUAUAAGACUGGGAUAACUUCGGGAAACCGGAGCUAAUACCGGAUAAUAUAUUGAACCGCAUGGUUCAAUAGUGAAAGACGGUUUUGCUGUCACUUAUAGAUGGAUCCGCGCCGCAUUAGCUAGUUGGUAAGGUAACGGCUUACCAAGGCAACGAUGCGUAGCCGACCUGAGAGAGUGAUCGGCCACACUGGAACUGAGACACGGUCCAGACUCCUACGGGAGGCAGCAGUAGGGAAUCUUCCGCAAUGGGCGAAAGCCUGACGGAGCAACGCCGCGUGAGUGAUGAAGGUCUUCGGAUCGUAAAACUCUGUUAUUAGGGAAGAACAAAUGUGUAAGUAACUAUGCACAUCUUGACGGUACCUAAUCAGAAAGCCACGGCUAACUACGUG
rnacentral:rRNA from 1 species